UACGAAGGGGGCUAGCGUUGCUCGGAAUCACUGGGCGUAAAGGGUGCGUAGGCGGGUCUUUUAAGUCAGGUGUGAAACCUCCAGGCUCAACCUGGAGACGCCACUUGAUACUGCUGUGACUGGAGUCCGGUAGGGGAGCGUGGAAUUCCUGGUGUAGCGGUGAAAUGCGCAGAUAUCAGGAGGAACACCAGCGGCGAAGGCGGCGCUCUGGGCCGGUGACUGACACUGAGGGAGCGAAAGCGUGGGUAGCAAACAGGA
rnacentral:rRNA from 1 species